rnacentral:rRNA from 1 species
AGAGUUUGAUCCUGGCUCAGGACGAACGCUGGCGGCGUGCUUAACACAUGCAAGUCGAACGAGAAUCUGUGGAAAGAGGAUUCGUCCAAUUGAAGCAGAGGACAGUGGCGGACGGGGGAGUAACGCGUGAGGAACCUGCCUUUCAGAGGGGGACAACAGUUGGAAACGACUGCUAAUACCGCAUGACAUAUAGAUGUCGCAUGGCAUUUAUAUCAAAGAUUUAUCGCUGAAAGAUGGCCUCGCGUCUGAUUAGCUAGUUGGUGAGGUAACGGCCCACCAAGGCGACGAUCAGUAGCCGGACUGAGAGGUUGAACGGCCACAUUGGGACUGAGAUACGGCCCAGACUCCUACGGGAGGCAGCAGUGGGGAAUAUUGGGCAAUGGGCGCAAGCCUGACCCAGCAACGCCGCGUGAAGGAAGAAGGCUUUCGGGUUGUAAACUUCUUUUGUCAGGGACGAGUAGAAGACGGUACCUGACGAAUAAGCCACGGCUAACUACGUGCCAGCAGCCGCGGUAAUACGUAGGUGGCAAGCGUUGUCCGGAUUUACUGGGUGUAAAGGGCGUGUAGCCGGGAGGGCAAGUCAGAUGUGAAAUCCACGGGCUCAACUCGUGAACUGCAUUUGAAACUACUCUUCUUGAGUAUCGGAGAGGCAAUCGGAAUUCCUAGUGUAGCGGUGAAAUGCGUAGAUAUUAGGAGGAACACCAGUGGCGAAGGCGGCUUUCUGGACGAUAACUGACGCUGAGGCGCGAAAGCGUGGGGAGCAAACAGGAUUAGAUACCCUGGUAGUCCACGCCGUAAACGAUGGAUACUAGGUGUAGGAGGUAUCGACCCCUUCUGUGCCGCAGUUAACACAAUAAGUAUCCCACCUGGGGAGUAUGGUCGCAAGAUUGAAACUCAAAGGAAUUGACGGGGGCCCGCACAAGCAGUGGAGUAUGUGGUUUAAUUCGAAGCAACGCGAAGAACCUUACCAGGACUCGACAUCCCACGCAUAGCCUAGAGAUAGGUGAAGUCCUACGGGACGUGGAGACAGGUGGUGCAUGGUUGUCGUCAGCUCGUGUCGUGAGAUGUUGGGUUAAGUCCCGCAACGAGCGCAACCCUUACUGUCAGUUACCAUCAUUAAGUUGGGGACUCUGGCAGGACUGCCGGUGACAAAUCGGAGGAAGGUGGGGACGACGUCAAAUCAUCAUGCCCCUUAUGUCCUGGGCUACACACGUACUACAAUGGCUGUUAACCGAGUGAAGCAAAGCAGUGAUGUGGAGCAAAACACAAAAAGCAGUCUCAGUUCAGAUUGUAGGCUGAAACUCGCCUAUAUGAAGUCGGAAUUGCUAGUAAUCGCAGAUCAGCAUGCUGCGGUGAAUACGUUCCCGGGCCUUGUACACACCGCCCGUCACACCAUGAGAGUCGAUAACACCCGAAGCCUGUAGCUUAACCUUAGGGAGAGCGCAGUCGAAGGUGGGAUUGAUAAUUAGGGUGAAGUCGUAACAAGGUA